rnacentral:rRNA from 1 species
AACGCUGGAAUGCCUUACGGUUGAAAGCUUUAGCGUCUGAGGAUGGGUCUGCGGCCGAUUAGGUAGUUGCUGGGGUAACGUCCCAACAAGCCGAUAAUCGGUACGGGUUGUGAGAGCAAGAGCCCGGAGAUGGAUUCUGAGACACGAAUCCAGGUCCUACGGGGCGCAGCAGGCGCGAAAACUUUACACUGCGCGAAAGCGCGAUAAGGGGACCUCGAGUGCGUGCGCAAUGCGUACGCUUUUCAGAUGCCUAAAAAGCAUCUGGAAUAAGGGCCGGGCAAGACCGGUGCCAGCCGCCGCGGUAACACCGGCGGCUCAAGUGGUGGCCGCUAUUAUUGGGCUUAAAGGGUCCGUAGCCGGACCAGUUAGUCCCUUGGGAAAUCUUACGGCUUAACCGUAAGGCUGCCAAUGGAUACUGCUGGUCUUGGGACCGGGAGAGGCAAGAGGUACCUCAGGGGUAGGAGUGAAAUCCUGUAAUCCUUGAGGGACCGCCAGUGGCGAAGGCGUCUUGCUAGAACGGGUCCGACGGUGAGGGACGAAAGCUAGGGGCACGAACCGGAUUAGAUACCCGGGUAGUCCUAGUCGUAAACGAUGCGAGCUAGGUGUCACGUGGAUUGCGAAUCCAUGUGGUGCCGAAGGGUAACCGUGAAGCUCGCCGCCUGGGAAGUACGGCCGCAAGGCUGAAACUUAAAGGAAUUGGCGGGGGAGCAC